rnacentral:rRNA from 1 species
GCAAGUCGAGGGGUAACAGGUCUAGCUUGCUAGAUGCUGACGACCGGCGCACGGGUGCGUAACGCGUAUAGAACCUACCUAUUACUGAGGGAUAGCCUUUAGAAAUGAAGAUUAAUACCUCAUGGCGUAAUUGAAUUUCAUGAUUUAAUUAUUAAAGAUUUAUUGGUAAUAGAUGGCUAUGCGUCUUAUUAGCUAGAUGGUAAGGUAACGGCUUACCAUGGCAACGAUAAGUAGGGGUCCUGAGAGGGAGAUC